rnacentral:rRNA from 1 species
GACGAACGCUGGCGGCGUGCUUAACACAUGCAAGUCGAACGGUAAGGCCCUUCGGGGUACACGAGUGGCGAACGGGUGAGUAACACGUGGGUGAUCUGCCCUGCACUUCGGGAUAAGCCUGGGAAACUGGGUCUAAUACCGGAUAGGACCACUGCCUGCAUGGGUGGUGGUGGAAAGCUUUUGCGGUGUGGGAUGGGCCCGCGGCCUAUCAGCUUGUUGGUGGGGUGAUGGCCUACCAAGGCGACGACGGGUAGCCGGCCUGAGAGGGUGACCGGCCACACUGGGACUGAGAUACGGCCCAGACGCCUACGGGAGGCAGCAGGGGGGAAUAUUGCACAAUGGGCGCAAGCCUGAUGCAGCGACGCCGCGUGAGGGAUGACGGCCUUCGGGUUGUAAACCUCUUUCAGCACCGGCGAAGCGCAAGUGACGGUAGGUGCAGAAGAAGGACCGGCCAACUACGUGCCAGCAGCCGCGGUAA